UUGUUUAUUGUAAUAGAAGAUGUUGAGUUCGGGAGGAGCCGGAGACUUGCAAAGUCAACUGUUAGCUCCAGCUCAAAUGAUGAGCUGCAGAAUUCCCACACCUCUCCGUCCUGGAGCACACUCCAAAGCCUUGCUCGCGGAUCUGCUGCGUGCUGUCGCCGCCGCUGCAGAUGGGAAGAAAGGCCUUGGGCGACUGAGCAUCGCGACGGCCUCAUCAGCUGAGCUUCGCUGCUUCCACUCAAGUCAUGGCAAUGGCAGUUAAUGUAGCCCUGACGACAAAAUGUGGGUUUUGUGUACUGCGAAUAAGCUGCUGCAAGAGGUGCUGGCUGACUACCAUCGAAGCUCAUCAUUGGGAUAUUGUCACAUUGCCCGAUUUUAUUUGUAAUAAUAAUUGGAUGAAACUGAGUAUGGUUGUGCUGGUUACCUUGAACUUGUGUGGAUCAUUUCUGAUACCUAGAACUUGUGUGAUUGUUAUGAUUGAAAAACUUUUCUCUAAGCUUCUGCCACCAUUUGAUAGCAAUCAAAUAUGGGACUGUGUGGUGGGUUAAUAAUAAUAUGAUGCAACAAUCUUCUGUCUGGUGCAUGUACGUGAUCAUUGCUGAUUUUACUAAUCCGAGAUGCACGUAUUGGUGCUCUGGUAUAUUCAAGAAUCAAAUGGGUCGGCAUUUUUGCCUGCUGGAACGAUCCAUUACUGUCCAUCUACAGCUUCAGACUUGGCGCAUCCAGCAGAAUUUUGAAGAGUAUCGUGAGAAUGAUCUUUCAAAAAAAAAAAGAAGAGUAUCGUGAGAAAAGGGACAAGCUUAUGAAGGUAGCAGCCAAGGCGUAACUAUAUUUCUUCAACUUCAUUUUGACCAUAUGCGGCCAUAAUGAUGUAAGUUUUGCUUCGAAACAGCUUUUUUGGGACUUCUGUAAGGAGUUUGCAUCGCAUUUGUUCUAUGCAUAUCUUUGCUUGCUAUCCAAUCUUGUGUACAUCUAUUGCAAUUGCAAUAAUCAAGCUGUGGCUAUUUCCUGUCAAAAAAUCUAGCUGUCUCUAGUUCUUUUUUAUCAUGCUACUUUGCAAGAUUACGAUAGUCUGGGAUUGCAGAUAUCUAUACAAUGCUCUCUUUAUUUUGUUGAUGACUUUCCUAUUAGUUUUUUUUAAUACUUUUGUAAGUACAGAUCCAUGGUUAAUGCAAAUCCCCCUUUCCUCCAAGAGAAAAUCGGUUACUUGAUGAAAAUUUCUCCAAUUGAUCAGUUCUGUUCUUUUUAUGCAUCAAUGAGUCAGCAUUCCUUCAACAUAGCCUGGAAAUGGGACAUGAUGUUGUGAGUUUUGCCUCUGAAUCUAGGUACAGUAAGACUGUGACAUACCAUUUAGGUGAGUGUUGUGUCAUCUUUGCUUUGUAUAUCCAGCGUUGUGUAACUCUAUGCCUCUAUUGCAAUCAAUCUGAUUGUGGCUAGUUAUUUAUCAUUAUACAUUUAUACUAUUCUGUUCAUCUAUGAAAAAAAAUGUUAUUUUGUGAGGAUAUGCACACUCUCCAUCUUGACUUGACUUCAUUCGAACUGCUCAUUACGUUUGUAUCAUUUGAUUCUGGGGUGGUAUAUAAGUUCAUUAUCAUGUUUGUCAUGAUUUGCAUUAUUUGGCCAAUUUACAUAUGUGCAUGGGCAUGGCACUGCACAAUAGUCGCUGCACAAUGUGUGCAUGGGUAGCUAUUAUGUGUCGUCGUGUUUCCACUCAUGAAGAAACGGUUUUGAGACAGAGUAGUGAAGCACUCCAAUUUCAGUGUGUCGUCAACUCAAGGCAGUAGUACUCCAAACUUCUGUUUUCUUAAAAAAAAAACAGCUUUAGUCUCAGGCUUGGAAAGUUGGUUUGGGAUUUUGGGGGCAUGUUGGAGUCAUCUAUUUCUUUCUCUUUUUUGAAGGAAAGAGUCAUCUUGUUUGUUGGUUUACUGUCAUGUUUGUUCUUCCCCCUUUUGUAAUGUACGGAGUACUUCUGUAAGACAUCUUUCUUGGCUUGCUGUGGGGUUUAGUUACAUCCUCUUUUGCUCUAAAAAUAUCUGAAUGAGCGCCGGCAAUUUAUCUGAUCAUAUACUUUUGCUUGUACAGUGUGUAUAGCAGUGCAGGUAGCGAUCAAAUGCCUCACCUAUUCCUUCAGUUCCAUAUAUUUGAUCAUAUCAUAGCCCGUAAAUAGGAAUUAUGCUGUAAAUUUUGCCUUUAAACCUAUUUAGAGUAAGACCAUCGUUGAUUGUUAUGGCAUCUUCGGUACUUGUUAAUGAGUUAUUUUUUUACACUUGUUAAGAACUUAAUUUCAGGUGUGACAAACUGUGACAAUAUGUAGCUGUGAACCUACAUGCUGUUGCUAUUCAUAUUUUUAAUGUGUGCUGUCCAAUCUAACGUAGCUACUACAUCGCAAUCUCAUUGUGUCUAGUUGCUCGUUUAUUAUACUACUUUGUGAUAUCAGUGAUUUCCAUGGGAUUGCACUCGUAAUGUGAUUAUCUAGAUAAAAUUGCUGUUUUAUUAGUUUUCCCCCCUAUAUACUUUUUCUAAGAUUUUACCUUGUGUUAAGUCUUGGGUUUAAUACAAACCCCAAUUCCUAUACGAAUAUUGUGGUUUGUUGUAUGCCAAAAGUUUAUAAUUAAUUAUUUUUCAUUUUUGUCAUCUGCAGGGAGAAAUAAUCAAGGUUAAUCAUAAUCUCCAACUCCAUGUUGAUCAUACCACAACCUGCAAAUAAGACAAGACCCUGUAAGUUUUGUCUCUAAACUUUACUACAAUAAGACUAGUGAGGAGUUAUUAGUCGCAUCUGGUGUCAUCUUGGCUUGCUAUUGCAAUCUGACUGUGGCAAUGAUGCCUUGUUGAUUGUGCUGUUUUCACAUCUCAAGAUCUUAAGCCAUUGCAGCCGUCCUCAUUGUGUUGAUGUCCUGAUAAUCUACCCACCAUUCGAUUCGAUUGUGGCUUGUGCCCCCAAUUAGGUUUAAUUGCUUACAUUGUGAUACUUGAUCCUGGGAUGGGAAUAUCAGUAUCAUCAAUCGUAUGGCCAACUCCUGAAGAAACCGUUUGAGACAAUGAAGAGAUGACACAGAGUAGUGGAGGGGAUUACGCCGCUCCAGUUUCUGUGUGUCAUGAACUCGAGGCCUUGAUGUGUUGACGAGGACAAAAGCCUUUUGUUUUGCUUUGACUGGAAAUCAGAAGACGCCACGGCAGCAAAAGUUCUCUUGUGUGUUGUUAAAAAGUUCUGAUGUCAUCCCACUUUAGACUGGGAAGUAUAUCUUUUCCAAGGCCAACUUUAGACCCAGACUUUUGCAAAGUUGAGUGACUUACAAGGGAGUAGAAACCAAAAAAAAAAAGAUUCUACUGCA